UCGGGGGGCCACCGCCCCCCGAACCCCGAUCACCGGUACCUGACACGGCCGGUGCGG
rnacentral:ncRNA from 1 species